UUCCUGUGUUAACCCUGCCUAGAUAAAUGGUGCAAUAAUGAUUAGACCAUAACCUUGUUUGUGAUUUUGGUUGGGAUGGGUUGCCAAUACCAGGAUGCUGGCACAAGAUACAUAAUGAAGAGAAAAAUAUGUUGUGAAAGGUCCCCGGUUCAAGACCGGGCAGAACAUGUUUUUUUCAUUUCACCCACCCCUCCCUCUAUGGGUGUCUAUGGAAAAGUUGGAACAGCACCACCAGAGGCCGACAGGACCGUCCAGCAUGACAGUGCCACCAGCCAUACGCAAAAAGUCCCAGGAUUGAAACCGGGCAGAAACAUGUUUUCUUCUGGAAGAAAGCAUUCAUUCACUUAUUGGCAUUCUCUUCUCUUUUCGGGCCUGUUGGUAGUGCUUGCGCUUGGCAGUCCAGAGGUGGCAGGUUCGACUCCCGAUUGCAGUGAACGAUGGCCCUGACUGAGCAAAACGUCUCUUACACCCCCGUUACACUCCAUCAAAUGUACAUUAACAAGCUGUAGUUUAUCGUAAUACAGUUAGUACAGCAAGUAGUGUUAUUAAUGUUUGGUAGUAAAUAUGACACACUGAAACAUAAACAUACAUACAGUAGCAUCAUCUAUCUGGCUUUCCUUCAUGCUACUUUUAAUAUGAUUAAUGUGUACCUUAUCAUAUACCAAGAUAUUCAACAUGUCAAACUACUAAUGUUAAGUUGUAUAAUACCAAUAUAAAAUUGGUUUUUGCCUUUAUAUCCUGAUUGUAUAUCCUCCAU